GACGUAGGAGGCGAGCGUUAUCCGGAUUCACUGGGCGUAAAGCGCAUGUAGGCGGCUCGGCAAGUCGUGUGUGUAAGCCCCUGGCUCAACUGGGGGAGGUCAUGCGAGACUGGCGGGCUUGAGGACAGCAGAGGAGCGUGGAACUCCCGGUGUAGCGGUGGAAUGCGUAGAGAUCGGGAAGAACACCAGUGGCGAAGGCGGCGCUCUGGGCUGUGUCUGACGCUGAGAUGCGAAAGUGUGGGGAGCAAACGGG
rnacentral:rRNA from 1 species